ACUAGGGUAGUUUAAUAAAAUACUACGCUGUGGUUGUAGAGAUGUCAGUAACUCCUAGUA
rnacentral:tRNA from 1 species